rnacentral:lncRNA from 10 species
CUACUUUUAGACCAACUUGAUUCUUUUGAGGUUUGUUUUUAGCACAGGUCUGCAGUAGCCUCAGUCUAGCCCUAAUACUUCUGGGGUCUUUUCUGAAUGCCCUGCUUGUUCUGAGAUUUCUACACCACAAUUGAAAGUGAAUUCAAAAAAGCUGGAGAGGAGACGCAUCAGGUCAGAAGGGAUUUGCUGCUCUGAACUGCCAGUUACACUGCACAAAAAUAUGUAUUCUGCAAUCAUGACCAAACAGAAGGACUAAAUCUGGAUCAGAAUCUGAAAUGUAAAAAGGCUACUUGUCAACCACGCCAUUGUUUUCCGUUGGAGCUAGCAGAGCAGCCUCGGCUGCACAUUCCUGGGACGUGAAUAAUAUCGGUUGUGAUUACACUUCAGUAUCUCAUCCAUUACCAGCCCUGUGAACACUGAAUAUAACCUAAUUAGGAAAUGCGAAGGGCCCUUUGCUAGGGAUGAGUGCUGGGGCAGCAGAGGUCCACAUGCCUUCCCGACACAGGGAUUCACCGGGUUUCAGACACAGGUUUGGAUCCUGCAGGGCUCAAGGACAGACUUUACUGGUCUAGUCCACAUUCCUUGUAUAAUCACCAGUAAGCUGAGAAUGUGACACCUUGGAUUCCAUCCUAUGUUACACUCCUCUUUAAAUGCAUUGCAAAGGAGAUAUGCCAGGACUGAUAAGUCAGUCAAUUUCAAAUAGGUAUUAAAGUAUUAAUGAAGUG